rnacentral:lncRNA from 1 species
UGCUCCACUUGCAAAUACCUUCUUAAACAACCUUAUAUGAGCAGUUCUCUUCUCAGGCUACUCUAGCACAGCUGUGGCCAGCUGCACUCAGCCUUCAGCCCAGCCAUGGAUUAUAUACCAGAUGAUUCCUGUUCAUUGAAAAUACUGGAAACAACAAGGAAUACAUCACACUGCCGAGAAAUUGGAUCCACCCAGAGAGACCAAAGGAAAGCUAUGACAUUUGAGGAACAGGCAAACAUUUCUCCUGCAAGCAUUUACUGAAGCAGACUAUAAAAACAAGUUUGGAUACUCCACCGGAAUGCUGUCACAGUUCUGAAUUUGGAAACUGAUAUUACCAUGUCCGUAAAGGACAAAGAAUGGAGGCUCCAAAUGUUGUAAUGAGUAACGCUUUUUAAAACUCAGAAAACUGACCAACAUCUGAGAACUAACUUGAUCCAGCCAAAUAUUUCUGGGUAUAAGAAGAGGCAAUGAUAAUUAGAAUUGCUGCUUGUAGAUAGGUAGUUUAAACUACACACAGUAGCUGGAUGUCUUCAAGGUAAAAGCAACUGAAGAGCAUUAGUGUUCAAGUAUCAUUAACCUCUCCAAAACGUUUCUUGGCAAACGGUUCUGAAGGCCUUCACUGAGUUUCUGUCAUUCUUCCCCUCCUUCUGUUCUAUGUCUUCCCACACUCAGUGAGUGGAACAUUUGGAUCAUUUUUAAAUUGUGUGAGGGAAGAGACCAAGAAAAAAAAUAAUUGAAGAACAGGGCAACUCUCUAGUAGUAAUAAAUAUUUAACUUGAAAAAUGCCUAAGAAUAAAUAUCAUCUAUAUAGGCACAUACAAGACUGUGGCACUCCUCUUUUGUUCACAUGUAGGAUCUUAGAAAAAAUAACCCCAAUAUUUUACUAUGAAAGAUUAUAGGUACCUAUGUUUUGAUUCACUUUUUUCCAACGUACCUGACUUUAAAGUUUUCCUUUUCAAAGAGCCAAGUGAACUCCUGCAUCUUGUCUCCCUUCUUGCUAAUUAUUUAAAGAGAUGACUCCAACGCCAUGUUUGAAAAUAGGCAGGAUCAUUGAGUUUCUGGAAGGAAAACGCCUUGGGUUUGCCAAGAGUUUCCCCUACUGGGCUGAUGACACCUCCUAAAACUACGGAGAGGAAAAUGCUCUGCAGGUCAGGCAGCAGGAGUUGAGGUCCCAACUGUGUCUCAAUUUGAAAGACUGAGUCAGGCACGCAGCUGCCAGGUGCCUGAGGAAUCUGAAUUGUUUUGCAACAUUAAAGUCAUUGUGAAUGAGGGGAACUGGUCAUGCUGAAAUGAUGCUACUGUUUCUGUGGAAUUUUAGUGAUGCCCAGAGCAAGUUGAAAAUCCAUUUGCCAUU